GCCAGCUUAGCUUCAACGGUAGAGCUCUCGAUUUGUAAUCGAGUGGUUGUCGGUUCGAAUCCGACAGCUGGCUCCA
rnacentral:tRNA from 2 species